AGAGUUUGAUCCUGGCUCAGGAUGAACGCUAGCGGGAGGCUUAACACAUGCAAGUCGAGGGGCAGCAGGUCGGAACUUCGGUUUUGAUGCUGGCGACCGGCGCACGGGUGAGUAACGCGUAUGCAACUUACCCUGUACUGGGAGAUAACCCGAAGAAAUUCGGACUAAUAUCCCAUAAUGAUAUUUCGGGGCAUCCUGGAAUAUUUAAAGUUCCAACGGUACAGGAUGGGCAUGCGUAACAUUAGCUGGUUGGUAGGGUAACGGCCUACCAAGGCAACGAUGUUUAGGGGUCCUGAGAGGGUGAUCCCCCACACUGGUACUGAGACACGGACCAGACUUCUACGGAAGGCAGCAGUGAGGAAUAUUGGUCAAUGGGCGCAAGCCUGAACCAGCCAUCCCGCGUGCAGGAAGACAGCCCUAUGGGUCGUAAACUGCUUUUCCAGGGGAAGAAAACUUCCGACGUGUCGGAACUUGCCGGUACCCUGGGAAUAAGCAUCGGCUAACUCCGUGCCAGCAGCCGCGGUAAUACGGAGGGUGCGAGUGUUAUCCGGAUUCAUUGGGUUUAAAGGGUGCGCAGGCGGGGAUGUAAGUCAGUGGUGAAAAGCUACCGCUUAACGGUAGUCUUGCCAAUGAUACUGCAUUUCUUGAGUAUGGUUA
rnacentral:rRNA from 1 species